UGCCCGGUAGCCAAGCGGCAAGGCAGAUGACUUUGAAUCAUCGACCGCAGGUUCGAAUCCUGCCCGGGCAUCCA
rnacentral:tRNA from 1 species